CAGUGUUGUACGCUGAAACAGGGAUGUUUCUCAUUUCACUUUCUAGAUUCCAUAAUUAUCCAGCUUUAAUUGUCAACUAAGUUUUUUGCUACCUUUGUGCCAGUUGCUAAUGAUACACAUGACUGCACUGUGAGAAACUUAAUAGCUUCAUACACUUUAGUACACUGAGUCAUCUUUAUAAACAUCAAAAAAUCUAAAAUUUCAGAUAAUUGCUUCUCAUUAGCAAUGGCCUAUAAGCAGUUUACUAGCUCAACAAUACAGAAUCUGUAUUAAUAAUGGUUUGUCCAUUUGCAGGAACAGAGAAAAUAAUCUACUUACUAACGUACACAGGAUGAACUACGGAAAGUUCAUGCAAGGAAAAAAAAGUAAAAAACAAACAUGAAGAGCUAUACUUGCUUGUUUUUUGGUGAGAAAAAGGACAAAUGGAGAGGUGGUCUGUAAAAACAUAAUAAAUAGCAACUGCAGUUUCCCCAGUGUUUUUUUAUUUUGUCUGGAAUUACUUACAUGAGAUGAUCAUCAACGUUAUUUGUUGAGGAAGCAUCUUCCAGUGUCCUGGUGGAUGAAAAGAUGAACAUGAGCCAGCAUUAUGAUCUUGCCGCCCUGAAGGUCGACUGUAUCUUUGUCUGCAUCAGAAGAGGGGUGGCCAGCAG
rnacentral:lncRNA from 1 species